rnacentral:rRNA from 1 species
CUGGCGGCGUGCCUAAUACAUGCAAGUCGAACGAGAACCCUUGAGAUUCGCUCUGAGGGGGGAGAGUGGCGAACUUGGUGAGUAACACCGUGGGUGACCUGCCCCGAAGACGGGGAUAACCGUUGGAAACGACGGCUAAUACCCGAUAUACUCGGUGAUUCGGCUCAUCAGAGUAAAUCGCUCCGUGUGCUUCUGGGAUGGGCCUGCGGCCUAUCAGCUAGUUCGUGUGGUAAUGGCCCACCAAGGCGAGGACGGGUAGGGGGCGUGAGAACGCGGACCCCCACACUGGCACUUAAUAUACGGGCCACGACUUCUACGGAAGGCAGCAGUCGCGGAUAUUGCGCAAUCGGCGAGAGCCGGAUGCAGCGACGCCGCGUGGGCGAUGAAGGCCUUCGGGUAGUGAAGCCCUUUUACGGGGGAAGAGACUCGGACGGUACCCCAAGAAUCAGCGUCGGUUAACUACGUGCCAGCAGCCGCGGUACAACGUAGGACGCAAGCGUUAUCCGGAUUUACUUGGGCGUAAAGAGCGUUGAGGCGGUUCCGUAAGUUGGGCGUCAAAGCCCCGUGGCUUAACCCGGGGGAGGUCGUUCAAUACUGCGGGACUUGAGACUACCAGAGGGAGCCGGAAUUCCCGGAGAAACGGUGAAAUGCGCUAGAUAUCGGGAGGAACACCAGUGCCGAAGACGGCCUCCUGGGGCUGUUUCGGACGCUGAAGGCGCAAGCUAGGGGACCGAACGGGAUUAGACACCCCGGUAGUCUUAGCCGUAAACGAUGGAUGCUAGCGCCUCUGGGGGGUAUAGAUCCCCUCCGUGCCGAAGCUAACGCGUUAAGUAUCCCGCCUGGGGAUUACGGCCGCAAGGCUUAAAGUCAAACGAAUUGCCGGGGGCCCGCACAAGCAAUCUGGAAGCGUGUGGUUUAAUUCGAUGCUACACGAAGAACCUUACGUGGGCUUGACAUGUAGGUAGUAGGUCGAAGCGAAAACGGAUACGACCGUUCGGGGAGCCUACACAGUUGCUGCAUGGCUUGUCGUCAAGUUCGUGCCGUAGAUGGUGUCGGGUUAAGUCACCGUAAACGAACGCAACCCUUGCCGUUAAGUUACAUGUGUCUAAGGGGACUGCCCGGGACAACUGGGAGGAAGGUGGGGAUGACGUCAGGUCAGCAUGGCCUUUAUGUCCAGGGCUACACACACG